rfam:Mus musculus chromosome X, GRC primary reference assembly.
GGGGAUGUAGCUCAAUGGUAGAGCACAUGCUUUGCAUGUAUGAGGCACCGGGUUCGAUUCCCGGCAUCUCCA